AGCGAACGCUGGCGGCAGGCCUAACACAUGCAAGUCGAACGAACUCUUCGGAGUUAGUGGCGGACGGGUGAGUAACACGUGGGAACGUGCCUUUAGGUUCGGAAUAACUCAGGGAAACUUGUGCUAAUACCGAAUGUGCCCUUCGGGGAAAGAUUUAUCGCCUUUAGAGCGGCCCGCGUCUGAUUAGCUAGUUGGUGAGGUAAAGGCUCACCAAGGCGACGAUCAGUAGCUGGUCUGAGAGGAUGAUCAGCCACAUUGGGACUGAGACACGGCCCAAACUCCUACGGGAGGCAGCAGUGGGGAAUCUUGCGCAAUGGGCGAAAGCCUGACGCAGCCAUGCCGCGUGAAUGAUGAAGGUCUUAGGAUUGUAAAAUUCUUUCACCGGGGACGAUAAUGACGGUACCCGGAGAAGAAGCCCCGGCUAACUUCGUG
rnacentral:rRNA from 1 species